CCAGACGAGCUGAAGAA
rnacentral:sRNA from 1 species